AUGCCCUCUGGAGAGGGGGCCAAGCAGGCCAUUAGCUCCUGGAUAUUGAAAUCACAGCUCCAGGUGCAACUGGUGAAGGAAGUGGAGGGCUGCAGCAAGGAAAACAGAGUUCUACACAACAGAGCUCCUGUGCUCUAUGAUUAUGACUUCAGACUUGCCAACCCUCCCUCCUUUUCCCUCCCUUCUCUUUCCUCCCCUGUUACCAUGCAGUUUAUUCUGUCUAUUAUUGCCUCCCACUUUUGGUUUUGUGGGGUUUUUUCCAUACUACCUAUAUUCACUCAAGGCCAAGCACAAUACCACAAGAAGAAGGAGAUACCUGUGAUGAAAAUUGGUGAGGGCGUGCUUCAGCUCUGAGAUACGCUCCCUGCCUCUCGAAAUUAAUUCAACAUUCCUGUGGCUUGGCGAAAAGAAGCAGAAUGAAUACUGGGGCUGCGCUGGGCCUGCUGCAGAUUGCCUGGUAGAUACAGCCCUCUGCAGGAAGGAACAAGUCAAGAGACUGCAGCGGUGCUCAGGCUGCUCUGCUGGGCACUGGAACAUGAUACUCUUAUCUCACGUCCUCUGACUUUAUCACUAAAAUGAUCACAUUACCCUGAGUCUGGGGUCUGUUUGAAGCAUUUUAUUUCUGUCUUUACACGAGAGACAAAACCCCCAGACUCCAGAUGAUAGCAUUGUGUGAAGAUGGGAAUGGAUGCCUGUGUGUGUGCAUGUGUGUGUGUGUGUGUGCUGGCAGGGAGAUAUAUGUACCUCCAUUUUUUCAUGCUGUCUGACUGCAAAACUUUCAGAUACAAAACCCAGGCCUCUGAGCUGCUCAAGGAACCAACAUUUGUUGGGCAGCCAUCGGCCAGAAGGAGUGCUAGUGUUUGGGUUUCUUCCUUAAGGAAAUCUGUGCUGGGCCACGAGUCUCAAAAAAGAGAGACAAAACACCCAGAGCUGCUUUCCUGGUCCCACAGUAUCUCUAUGCUCAGUUAGGCCUUACAUUGAAUAGGGAUCCAGUAUCUUUAACUUUUUUAAAUUUCUGACUCAGUUAUAGAGCAGGGACUUCCCAGGACUACACUCCUCACUACAGACUUUUAGGAAAGGGGAGAGAGGGAUUUCUUCUGAACUGAGGGCUUCUUACCUUACCUUCACCUCUGGCUUCACAGUGAAUUUCUAAAUAUCGGUGGCCUCCACCCCACAACCACUACACAUCUGUUCAUGGAAGAGAAAGCACUGGGGCCUUUCUGCUCUGCAGCUGACUGGACCGAGCUCAGCUGCUCCAAGAGAAUCUACAUGGUCCCUCACAGAAAAAUACCCUGGCCUGGUGUGACAACAGGAGGGGCUGGAGACACUGUGCAGACAUUCCUGUCUCCUCUCA
rnacentral:lncRNA from 1 species